CUUGGGGCCGGGGGCCUGUGAUCGAUGAGGAUUAAGGAGCGGAUUUUGUCAGAACCAAACGCAGGAACGCCCUCCCCCACUGAUGGACUAACUUUGAUGGCGUCCCGCUAGAGCCGUCAACAUGAACACGCUACCAUCCAUGGACCGGCACAUCCAGCAGACCAAUGACAGGCUGCAGUGUAUUAAACAGCACUUACAGAACCCGGCCAACUUCCACUCGGCGGCCACAGAGCUGCUGGACUGGUGCGGAGAUCCCCGGGCCUUCCAGCGACCUUUUGAGCAAAGCCUCAUGGGAUGUCUGACGGUAUGCAAACAUCCAUUUUUUUUAAGGGGGGCGGGGGGUGCUUUUAAAGGCAAAUAAUAAUUGUUUGAUGAAUACUUGGGAUGCUUGGCUUGAGUCUCUGGGGGCAUUAACCUCUUAAGGCCCAAGCUGUUUGUUUACAUGAUUUUUUUUAUUUCUCUUUGCUAUUUGGGCUUAUUGGACCCUAAUUAGAAUAAAAACUAAAAAUCAUAUUUUUGUACUUAGUCCAUAAGUACACAAAUGUGUACUUCAUGUGUAGUGACAUGCUCAUUUUUAUUUUUACACUUUUUUUUUUCCAAAUUCCAUUGUAUGUUAUACUUUUCGGACACCACCAGACGGCAGUAUAAGUGUCCACAUAAGCGGCCAUAAGACCCCAAUUCAGUAGUGUACACAA